AUAGUGAUGGCAGGCCCAGAACGCAAGUUGACUCAUUACAAGCAAGUUCUAAUUGCUGCACUGAAGCGCCUGUAAAAGGCUUCUUACAACCCAGCCCCUUCAUUUGCUGUUAUGUACAGAUUACAACCUGGGAAGCAUUUCUUUUUUCCCCAAAUGAGGACAUCUAUUAUUUCCCAUCCUUUCAGCACUACCCCUUUCCCCCUCUCUCCUCGCUGAGCCCCUCCUCACUAUCCCCUAUUGCUCCAGCUGCCUGGUGCCCACCUCCACAUUCCCACUGACAUCACAAUACAGUCCUCUUUCCUGGCUAACAAUGGCCCCCAACUAUAUAACUCAGGGUCUGUCCCCUUACUCUGUAAAGCCAGACCAGAAGGGAGAGGAGUAAGGCAGCCUUUGAUCUCCACGCCUGUUGGUGGGCACCCAAGAUGCAGGGGCUCCUGGCUCCUCGGGCCCAGAACCGAAAAAAAUGUAGGCAAGAGAGUCCAAGCCAAAGCCGGAGCUGCAGCCAGAGCCGAAGCUGGAGCCACACUCGCAGCCGUAGCCGCAGUAGGAGCCGAAGUCAAAGUGCCAGUCCAAGCCCUAGUCCAUGCAGGCACCAUACCAGGAGAGCACACUCCCAUCGCUCCUCAUCCCGAGCCCAUCCUUGCACUCACUCCCACUAUCGUUCCCAUCACUCCAACUGUUAUCCUAAAAGAAGAAAGGCAACAUGUGUAGCAAAAAGAAAGGCCAAGAAAGGCCGGUCAACACACAGAAGGAAGAAACGAGCAGGGAGGAGAAGAAAAUGAUAUCUAUCUCCCCCACCCCCUUACACCUUGGGGAGGGGAGCUGUUCCUGGCUUCUACAUUGAUGAGGAGAAGAAUAUCAACUUGAAAGCUAGGAAGGAAGAAAACAAACUUUUUACAGGAACACAUGUAGAUGGUGAUUUCUAUACAACAUCUUAAAAAGAAAAGAAAAUGGAAAAUGGAAGGCUAGUCUCCCAUGACUCUGGCAUUUCACUUCGUCCUCGAGAUAAUAAAGAUCACCUGUUGUGAAACUAAUAUAAUCA
rnacentral:lncRNA from 1 species